rnacentral:rRNA from 1 species
CCUACGGGAGGCUGCAGUGGGGAAUAUUGGACAAUGGGCGAAAGCCUGAUCCAGCCAUGCCGCGGGUGUGAAGAAGGCCUUCGGGUUGUAAAGCACUUUCAGUGGGGAAGAAAGCCUUGGGGCUAAUACCCUCGAGGAAGGACAUCACCCACAGAAGAAGCACCGGCUAACUCCGUGCCAGCAGCCGCGGUAAUACGGAGGGUGCGAGCGUUAAUCGGAAUUACUGGGCGUAAAGCGCGCGUAGGCGGUCUGAUAAGCCGGUUGUGAAAGCCCCGGGCUCAACCUGGGAACGGCAUCCGGAACUGUCAGGCUAGAGUGCAGGAGAGGAAGGUAGAAUUCCCGGUGUAGCGGUGAAAUGCGUAGAGAGCGGGAGGAAUACCAGUGGCGAAGGCGGCCUUCUGGACUGACACUGACGCUGAGGUGCGAAAGCGUGGGUAGCAAACAGGAUUAGAUACCCGUGUAGUC